rnacentral:lncRNA from 1 species
UUGAAAAAUACAAAAAAAAAAAAACGGGGCUAGAAGGGAGGAACAGGCCAAAACGAUGUCGUUUUGGCUUUUUUUUUUUCUUUUAAAGGAAUAGGCUCCAAAAUGACUUCAUUUUGACAUGUUCCUUUUAAAAUUAAAAAGGGCUAAAACAAUGUCGUUUUGGACCCACAAAAUUAAAACAAAAUAAAAUUAGGGCUCAGCCCCAAC